CGUAGCCAGCAGUCAGCAGUAGUACGGAGGGUGCGAUCAUAAUACGUAGUACUGGGCGUCAAGGCGCAUGCAGGUUGAUUUAUUAAGUCAGAUGUGACAGGCCCGGGGCUCCACCUGGGAUUAGCAUUUGACACUGGCAGAGUAAGAGUACUGGUGGAGGGGGGGUAGCACUUUCAGGUGUAGCGGUGAAAUGCGUAGAGAUCUGAAGGAAUACCGGUGGCGACGGCCGCCCCCCUGGUACAGAUACUGACACUCAGAUGCGAAAGGGGGCGGGAGCAAACAGGAUUAGAUACCCUGGUAGUCCACGCCGUAAACGAUGUCUACUUGGAGGUUGUGGCCCCUGAGCCGUGGCUUUCGGAGCUAACGCGUUAAGUAGACCGCGUGGGGGAGUACGGUCGCAAGAUUAAAACUCAAAUGAAUUGACGGGGGCCCGCACAAGCGGUGGAGCAUGUGGUUUAAUUCGAUGCAACGCGAAGAACCUUACCUACUCUUGACAUCCAGAGAACUUUCCAGAGAUGGAUUGGUGCCUUCGGGAACUCUGAGACAGGUGCUGCAUGGCUGUCGUCAGCUCGUGUUGUGAAAUGUUGGGUUAAGUCCCGCAACGAGCGCAACCCUUAUCCUUGUUUGCCAGCGAGUAAUGUCGGGAACUCCAGGGAGACUGCCGGUGAUAAACCGGAGGAAGGUGGGGACGACGUCAAGUCAUCAUGGCCCUUACGAGUAGGGCUACACACGUGCUACAAUGGCGCAUACAGAGGGCGGCCAACUUGCGAAAGUGAGCGAAUCCCAAAAAGUGCGUCGUAGUCCGGAUUGGAGUCUGCAACUCGACUCCAUGAAGUCGGAAUCGCUAGUAAUCGUGGAUCAGAAUGCCACGGUGAAUAUUGUUCCCGGGCCUUGUACACACCGCCCGUCACACCAUGGGAUUUUUUUUUAAACUUACUCUCGGCACAAAACCUCAC
rnacentral:rRNA from 1 species